rnacentral:rRNA from 1 species
UACGGGGGGGGCAAGCGUUGUUCGGAAUUACUGGGCGUAAAGGGCUCGUAGGCGGCCAACUAAGUCCGACGUGAAAUCCCCAGGCUUAACCUGGGAACUGCGUCGGAUACUGGAUGGCUUGAGAUUGGGAGAGGGAUGCGGAAUUCCAGGUGUAGCGGUGAAAUGCGUAGAUAUCUGGAGGAACACCGGUGGCGAAGGCGGCAUCCUGGACCAACACUGACGCUGAGGAGCGAAAGCCAGGGGAGCAAACGGG